GACGAACGCUGGCGGCGUGCUUAACACAUGCAAGUCGAACGAAGUGGCGAACGGGUGAGUAACGCGUAAUCAACCUGCCCUUCAGGGGGGGACAACAGUUGGAAAAGACUGCUAAUACCGCAUACUGAAGAGGGGGAUUGCGUUUGAUUAGCUAGGUGGAGGGGUAACGGCCCACCAAGGCGAUGAUCAGUAGGCGGGCUGGGAGGAUGAACGGCCACAUUGGGACUGGGACAAGGCCCAGACUCCUACGGGAGGCAGCAGUGGGGAAUCUUCCGCAAUGGACGAAAGGCUGACGGAGCAACGCCGCGGGAGUGAUGACGGCCUUCGGGUUGUAAAGCUCUGUUAAUCGGGACGCGGUACCGGAAGAGAAAGCCACGGCUAACUACGUGCCAGCAGCCGCGGUAAUAC
rnacentral:rRNA from 1 species